rnacentral:rRNA from 1 species
AUUGAACGCUGGCGGCAGGCUUAACACAUGCCAGUCGAGCGAGCGGCGGACGGGUGAGUAAUGUCUGGGAAACUGCCUGAUGGAGGGGGAUAACUACUGGAAACGGUAGCUAAUACCGCAUCCCAUCCGAUGUGCCCAGAUGGGAUUAGCGAGUAGGUGGGGUAAUGGCUCACCUGGGCGACGAUCCCUAGCUGGUCUGAGAGGAUGACUAGCAACACUGGAACGGAGACACGGUCCAGAAUCCUACGGGAGGCAGCAGGGGGGAAUAGUGAAAAAUGGGCGCAAGCCUGAUUCAGCCAUGCCGCGUGUGUGAAGAAGGCCUGCGGGUUGUAAAGCACUUGCAGCGAGGAGGCGUUACUCGCAGAAGAAGAACCGGCUAACUCCGUGCCAGCAGCAGCGGUAAUAC